rnacentral:rRNA from 1 species
UACGUAGGGGGCGAGCGUUGUCCGGAAUCAUUGGGCGUAAAGCGCGCGUAGGUGGCUUCGUAAGUCCGUUGUGAAAGUCAAAGGCUCAACCUUUGAAAGCCGAUGGAUACUGCGGAGCUAGAGUACGGAAGAGGCGAGUGGAAUUCCUGGUGUAGCGGUGGAAUGCGCAGAUAUCAGGAGGAACACCAAUAGCGAAGGCAGCUCGCUGGGACGUUACUGACACUGAGGCGCGAAAGCGUGGGGAGCAAACAGG